rnacentral:sRNA from 1 species
AUUCUGCCCAUGCGGGGAAGGAUGAGAAGCUUCGACCAAGGUUCGACUCGAGCGCCAGCGAGAGAGCGUUGCCGCAGGCAACGACCCG